CCUACGGGAGGCAGCAGUGAGGAAUAUUGGUCAAUGGCCGAGAGUCUGAACCAGCCAAGUCGCGUGAAGGAUGACUGCCCUAUGGGUUGUAAACUUCUUUUAUAAAGGAAUAAAGCGAGGCACGUGUGCCUUUUUGCAUGUACUUUAUGAAUAAGGAUCGGCUAACUCCGUGCCAGCAGCCGCGGUAAUACGGAGGAUCCGAGCGUUAUCCGGAUUUAUUGGGUUUAAAGGGAGCGUAGAUGGGUUUUUAAGUCAGUGGUGAAAGUUUGCGGCUCAACCGUAAAAUUGCCAUUGAUACUGGCAGUCUUGAGUACAGUUGAGGUAGGCGGAAUGCGUGGUGUAGCGGUGAAAUGCUUAGAUAUCACGAAGAACCCCGAUUGCGAAGGCAGCUUACUAAACUGUGACUGACAUUGAUGCUCGAAAGUGUGGGGAUCAAACAGGAUUAGAUACCCCUGUAGUC
rnacentral:rRNA from 1 species